rnacentral:ncRNA from 1 species
UAGCACUGAGGUCGGAAAUGGCUCCCGACCCUCCUUUGUAUGAGAAUGGUACAAGCGUCUGCCUAUGAGGCUAUAUAGAUAAUGCAUGAGUUCCGACAAUCCGCAAGGUAACCUGAUAUGCAGGAUACGUCGCCCUGUCAGUAAAU